rnacentral:lncRNA from 1 species
UAAUGCGGCAACCUUGGGUGCCUAUAAAGUGGCAACAGCCUGAAGAUGCCGACAUAUAUGAAAUACUGCACCGUUGCUCUUUGAAGUUUUCGGAGGGGUCGGGGUCGAUAAAAAAACGAAGAAGAAAAUUGAAAUGAAAACGAAGAAGAAAACGAAAAGUUGGACGCCAACCUACAUACGUAGGAUUUUACCUUACCUUACCUUACCUUAUAGAUACACCUUAAACCGGAACUAAAUGAGUGUUAAAAAUUAACUUUUGUAGUGAUUAUAAAAAAAUUUAAAUGUAAUAAAAAAAUGAAAAUCGUAAAGAAACGAAAAUUUUAAGCAUUUAUUCUACGUUAAGUUGCACAAUAAUACAAAAAUGGACAAAACAUAUUCGCAAUGCCAAUUCAGUACAAGUCAGUUCUGUUAGUCGCCGGCACUGGAAUUGACUAUGCAUUAACCAAAAUUAUAUUAAACGUAAAUAUAAACCUACAAAAAAAAACACAAAGCCGUAAAAAUAUAAAAUGUAAAAAUAUAAAAUGUAAAAAAAAUAUAAAACCUAGAGAUACUGUAUCUAUUGGUAUGGAAAUUACUACUUAAUCUUACCUUCGCAAAAGCACAUUGUGCACCUGUUAUUUUUAUAAAAAAAUGAAUUUAAAAAAAAUAAAAAUUAAAACUGGAAAACUAGAAAAAUGGCAGCACUGUAGGUUUUAUUGAAAGAUGCUGAGCUCAACAAAUUCCCGAUAGUUAAUAUUAAAAUAUACCUUAGCUAAAUACAUAUACGAUAUCUCAUUUCUUUAUUUGUAGAAUUAAGCAUAAAAAAGGGAAAGUUAAUUUGGUCACUACUGGACAAAAAAUUAAAAAAAAUUAGGACAGUCCAUGUAUCCUGACAAAGUCGGCUAUUACACGAAUCUGUCUUUAAAAAAGACAUUCUUAUCUGUCGAAGUAGGUACUUGAACAUUCGAGAGUCAGAUUAAUUGGUCACCACUGGACAAAAAAAUUAGGACAGUCUAUGUAUCCUGACAAAGUCGGCUAUUACACGAAUCUGUCUUUUUAAAAAACAUUCUUAUCUGUCGAAGUAGGUACUUGAAUAUUCCAGAGUCAGAUUAAAAUAAUUUGUUACCUUAAUGCAGCAACGGUACCUUACUCUGGCACAGGAAAAUGUCGCCAGCGGCACUAUAUACUCGUUUCACAUCCCACCAGAACAUAUCCCACGAAAGGAAGGCGAUAACGAGAACCAACAGAAGGGCUUUCACUAAACACAAAUGGCUCAACAAACAAACAAAACACGAGUUGGCACGGUGAACUCGAAAACCACCCUUAAUCACUUAAAUAUUUGUUUACAAAUUAUCUAUAUCAUCUACCACUACAACAAACUCGAUCUAUUUUUGAAAAUACGUAAGGAUGGCCACAAUAAAAACGGAAAAACUUGAUUCUACCUCGACGGUACUAUUCUGCCAUCAUCCCCAA